UAUGCAACAAAACAAUAAAUCCUAAAGUAUGUUAUAUGGAGUAUACACAACACCCUGCCCAAACCCUGAACUUAAGAAACCUCUCACUUCCCUCAUUCUGUCAGGAAUUUGAGGCUCCAAUAGUUCUUCAAAUAUUGUUUCAGGUUCAUUGGUGGGGAUUGGGGUUUCUCCUUCUAAAUUACGACAAGCAGGAUGUCAGACCGUUUGACACGUAUUGCAAUAGUGAGCUCAGAUCGCUGCAAGCCAAAAAAGUGCCGUCAGGAGUGCAAAAAGAGUUGUCCUGUGGUUAAGACAGGGAAACUGUGUAUUGAGGUUUCAUCCGCAGCAAAACUUGCUUUCAUCUCAGAGGAGCUUUGCAUUGGAUGUGGUAUUUGUGUCAAGAAAUGUCCUUUUGAAGCAAUUCAGAUUAUUAAUCUCCCAAAGGAUCUGGACAAGGAUACAACACACCGUUAUGGCCCCAAUACUUUCAAACUACAUAGGUUACCAGUCCCGAGACCAGGACAAGUUCUUGGCUUAGUAGGAACAAAUGGCAUUGGGAAGUCAACUGCUCUAAAAGUUUUGGCAGGAAAAUUGAAGCCCAAUCUGGGAAGGUUCAAUAAUCCACCUGACUGGCAAGAAAUCUUAACAUAUUUCCGUGGAUCAGAACUGCAAAAUUAUUUUACGCGCAUAUUGGAAGAUAAUCUGAAGGCCAAUAUCAAGCCCCAGUAUGUGGAUAACAUUCCCAAGGCAGUCCAGGGAAAUGUUGGAGAGGUCUUAGAUAAAAAAGAUGAGAGGGACAUGAAGGCUUCACUGUGCGAUGAUCUAGAGCUGAAUAAAGUUCAAGAUCGUAAUGUGGGAGAUCUUUCAGGCGGUGAAUUGCAGAGGUUUGCAAUUGCAGUUGUGGCAAUGCAGAGUGGUGAGAUAUAUAUGUUUGAUGAGCCUUCAAGUUAUUUGGAUGUGAAACAAAGGCUCAAAGCUGCAAAAGUUAUCAGAUCAUUGCUGAGGCCUAAUAGCUAUGUUAUUGUUGUGGAGCAUGAUCUUAGUGUUUUAGACUAUCUUUCAGACUUCAUUUGCUGCUUAUAUGGUAAACCGGGUGCAUAUGGAGUUGUGACUCUGCCAUUUUCUGUUAGAGAAGGAAUCAAUAUAUUCUUGGCAGGGUUUGUACCCACAGAAAAUCUUCGUUUUAGGGAUGAAUCUCUUACAUUCAAGGUUGUUGAGACACCUCAAGACAAUGCUGAGGAGAUUGAGACAUAUGCUCGAUACAAAUACCCAACAAUGACUAAAACUUUGGGUGGUUUUAAAAUAUGUGUUAUGGAGGGUGAAUUCACAGAUUCACAAAUAAUCGUGAUGUUGGGAGAAAAUGGAACAGGGAAGACAACAUUUAUUCGUAUGCUGGCGGGUCUACUGAAGCCUGAUAAUGCGGAAGCUUCUGAUGUGGAAGUGCCUGAAUUCAACGUUUCUUACAAGCCCCAGAAGAUCAGUCCAAAAUUCCAACAUUCUGUGAGGCACCUCUUACAUCAAAAGAUAAGGGAUUCAUAUACUCAUCCUCAGUUUAUCUCAGAUGUCAUGAAGCCCCUUCAGAUUGAGCAGUUAAUGGAUCAAGAAGUUGUGAAUCUAUCUGGUGGAGAGUUGCAGAGAGUUGCAUUAGCUUUGUGUCUGGGAAAGCCUGCAGAUAUUUAUUUGAUUGAUGAACCAAGUGCUUAUUUGGAUUCCGAGCAGCGUAUUGUGGCUUCGAAAGUGAUAAAGAGAUUUAUUCUUCAUGCCAAGAAGACUGCAUUUGUUGUUGAACACGAUUUUAUAAUGGCAACAUAUCUAGCAGAUAGAGUAGUUGUUUAUGAGGGAACACCAUCAGUGGAUUGUACUGCAAACACUCCCCAAUCAUUGUUGAAUGGAAUGAAUCUUUUCUUGUCGCAUCUGGAUAUUACAUUUAGGAGGGACCCAACCAAUUAUCGCCCAAGGAUUAACAAGGUGGACUCCACAAAAGACAGGGAGCAGAAAUUUGCUGGGACUUAUUAUUACCUGGAUGAUUGAUGUGAAUUUCGCUUUUCACCCAGGAGGUUAUGGUUGCAACCUCAAGUAUAUGUUGGCACCAGCAUGCAAAGUAUUGGGGUGUUGCAAGGUUUUUACUCGCAUCUGGUUAUAUAUGCAGAAGGGACCCAACUGAUUAUUGCACAAGUAUUGACAAACUAGAUUCCAUGAAAGACGGAGCAAUUUGAUAGAGCUUAUUGUUUCCUGGAUAAAUUGAUGUUUUUAAACAUUUUUGUGGAUAAUAUCAAAUCGUCAAAGUGAAGAACAAAAGUGAUCAGGAGUUUGCGGUGGUGACCUCAAGGAUGUGUUUGCUACCAGCAUUUGCGUGUGUUUCUUGGAACCGAGGAGGUUGAUCGAUUAAAAUUUGAAAGUGGUUGAUUGUACUAUUUUUCUCUGCUAUCUUGAUGAAUCUCUGACCAAAUUAGCCCAAGUUUUGGCAGGAGUUUUGCCACAGUUUUGGGUUUCUCACUAGUGAGUGGAAUUUUCUUUGGUCAAUUUUUACAUUGAUCAAUGCGCUGCUAUUAGGGUUUAAUAUCGUGUUUGGGAUGUCUUGUGCAAACAAAUAUUGUUUUUUUAAUAAUUGCUUAAAACUUGUAUGCUAUAUAAAGGAUUCUAGAAAGAUUAGUGUGCUACCAGUGUUGCUCGGAAUUGGGUAUUUAUGUGAUCAUGUCAAACAUGUGGAUUUAGUGCCAAACUUGGCUAUAUUAAUAAAAAAAUUCAUGUUCUUGUUCCAAAA